rnacentral:rRNA from 2 species
CUAAUGAGUGAAGGGACUCUGGGUCACCUCCCACCCGUGUUUAUCGUACCUUGUUGCUUCGGCGGGCCCGCCUCACGGCCGCCGGGGGGCAUCCGCCCCCGGGCCCGCGCCCGCCGAAGACACACAAACGAACUCUUGUCUGAAGAUUGCAGUCUGAGUACUUGACUAAAUCAGUUAAAACUUUCAACAACGGAUCUCUUGGUUCCGGCAUCGAUGAAGAACGCAGCGAAAUGCGAUAAGUAAUGUGAAUUGCAGAAUUCAGUGAAUCAUCGAGUCUUUGAACGCACAUUGCGCCCCCUGGUAUUCCGGGGGGCAUGCCUGUCCGAGCGUCAUUGCUGCCCUCAAGCACGGCUUGUGUGUUGGGCUCUCGCCCCCCGCUUCCGGGGGGCGGGCCCGAAAGGCAGCGGCGGCACCGCGUCCGGUCCUCGAGCGUAUGGGGCUUCGUCACCCGCUCUGUAGGCCCGGCCGGCGCCCGCCGGCGAACACCAUCAAUCUUAACCAGGUUGACCUCGGAUCAGGUAGGGAUACCCGCUGAACUUAAGCAUAUCAAUAAGCCGGAGGAAA